rnacentral:rRNA from 1 species
AUGCAGUCGAACGCUGAAGCCCUGGUGCUUGCACCGGGGUGGAUGAGUGGCGCACGGGUGAGUAACACGUGAGUAACCUGCCCCCGACUUCGGGAUAAGCCCGGGAAACUGGGUCUAAUACCGGAUAUGACCAUGACUCGCAUGAGUGAUGGUGGAAAGUUUUUUCGGUUGGGGAUGGGCUCGCGGCCUAUCAGUUUGUUGGUGAGGUAAUGGCUCACCAAGACGACGACGGGUAGCCGGCCUGAGAGGGCGACCGGCCACACUGGGACUGAGACACGGCCCAGACUCCUACGGGAGGCAGCAGUGGGGAAUAUUGCACAAUGGGGGAAACCCUGAUGCAGCGACGCAGCGUGCGGGAUGACGGCCUUCGGGUUGUAAACCGCUUUCAGCAGGGAAGAAGCCCUUCGGGGUGACGGUACCUGCAGAAGAAGUACCGGCUAACUACGUGCCAGCAGCCGCGGUAAUACGUAGGGUACAAGCGUUGUCCGGAAUUAUUGGGCGUAAAGAGCUCGUAGGUGGUUGGUCACGUCUGCUGUGGAAACGCAACGCUUAACGUUGCGCGUGCAGUGGGUACGGGCUGACUAGAGUGCAGUAGGGGAGUCUGGAAUUCCUGGUGUAGCGGUGAAAUGCGCASAUAUCAGGAGGAACACCGGUGGCGAAGGCGGGACUCUGGGCUGUAACUGACACUGAGGAGCGAAAGCAUGGGGAGCGAACAGGAUUAGAUACCCUGGUAGUCCAUGCCGUAAACGUUGGGCACUAGGUGUGGGGGACAUUCCACGUUCUCCGCGCCGUAGCUAACGCAUUAAGUGCCCCGCCUGG